CCUAGAACCUAACGACGUGAAACAAACCCACCACAAAUACAAAAAAUUAUCUAUCCAAACGGAUAGAGUCUUCCUUAUAUUUGCACGGCGUAAUACAUAGUACAAGUGACAACCAUACCAUACCACUCACAUUAAUAACAUACACGAUUCACAUAGAUCAUUAUUUCACAAGUUUUCAUAUUCAUCCCUAUUAAUAUAUGGAUAUAAAC
rnacentral:lncRNA from 1 species